CCAAACUUGGUCAUUUAGAGGAAGUAAAAGUCGUAACAAGGUCUCCGUUGGUGAACCAGCGGAGGGAUCAUUACUGAGUUUUCAACUCCCAAACCCCUGUGAACAUACCUAUCGUUGCCUCGGCGGGAAAGCCCCGGGCGCUGGCGAAAGCCUCGCACCGGUACCAGGCGCCCGCCGGAGGACCCAAACAAACCCUUGAAUUCUAAAGAAUCUUCUGAGUAUACAUAAGUAAUAAAUUAAAACUUUCAACAACGGAUCUCUUGGUUCUGGCAUCGAUGAAGAACGCAGC
rnacentral:misc_RNA from 1 species